rnacentral:rRNA from 1 species
AUUGAACGCUGGCGGCAUGCCUUACACAUGCAAGUCGAACGGCAGCACGGGUGCUUGCACCUGGUGGCGAGUGGCGAACGGGUGAGUAAUACAUCGGAACGUACCUUAUCGUGGGGGAUAACGCAGCGAAAGCUGUGCUAAUACCGCAUACGCCCUGAGGGGGAAAGCGGGGGAUCGCAAGACCUCGCGCGAUUAGAGCGGCCGAUGCCUGAUUAGCUUGUUGGUGGGGUAAAAGCCCACCAAGGCGACGAUCAGUAGCUGGUCUGAGAGGACGAUCGGCCACACUGGGACUGGGACACGGCCCAGACUCCUACGGGAGGCAGCAGUGGGGAAUUUUGGACAAUGGGGGCAACCCUGAUCCAGCAAUGCCGCGUGAGUGAAGAAGGCCUUCGGGUUGUAAAGCUCUUUUGUCAGGGAAGAAACACCGGCUCUAACACAGUCCGGGAAUGACGGUACCUGAAGAAUAAGCACCGGCUAUCUACGUGCCAGCCGCCGCCGUAA